AUUGAACGCUGGCGGCAGGCUUAACACAUGCAAGUCGAACGAGUGGCGGACGGGUGAGUAAUGCUUGGGAAUCUGGCUUAUGGAGGGGGAUAACUACGGGAAACUGUAGCUAAUACCGCGUACCAUAGGAUGAGCCCAAGUGGGAUUAGGUAGUUGGUGAGGUAAAGGCUCACCAAGCCGACGAUCUCUAGCUGGUCUGAGAGGAUGACCAGCCACACUGGGACUGAGACACGGCCCAGACUCCUACGGGAGGCAGCGGUGGGGAAUCUUCCGCAAUGGACGAAAGUUGACGGGGCAACGCCGCGGGUGUGAAGAAGGUCUUCGGAUUGUAAAGCACUUUAAGUUGGGGGGCGGUACCGACAGAAUAAGCACCGGCUAACUUCGUGCCAGCCGCCGCGGUAAUUC
rnacentral:rRNA from 1 species